rnacentral:rRNA from 1 species
GCAGUCGAACGAUGAUGCCCAGCUUGCUGGGUGGAUUAGUGGCGAACGGGUGAGUAACACGUGAGUAACCUGCCCCUGACUCUGGGAUAAGCGUUGGAAACGACGUCUAAUACUGGAUAUGACUGCCGGCCGCAUGGUCUGGUGGUGGAAAGAUUUUUUGGUUGGGGAUGGACUCGCGGCCUAUCAGCUUGUUGGUGAGGUAAUGGCUCACCAAGGCGACGACGGGUAGCCGGCCUGAGAGGGUGACCGGCCACACUGGGACUGAGACACGGCCCAGACUCCUACGGGAGGCAGCAGUGGGGAAUAUUGCACAAUGGGCGAAAGCCUGAUGCAGCAACGCCGCGUGAGGGAUGACGGCCUUCGGGUUGUAAACCUCUUUUAGUAGGGAAGAAGCGUAAGUGACGGUACCUGCAGAAAAAGCACCGGCUAACUACGUGCCAGCAGCCGCGGUAAUACGUAGGGUGCAAGCGUUGUCCGGAAUUAUUGGGCGUAAAGAGCUCGUAGGCGGUUUGUCGCGUCUGCUGUGAAAUCCCGAGGCUCAACCUCGGGCUUGCAGUGGGUACGGGCAGACUAGAGUGCGGUAGGGGAGAUUGGAAUUCCUGGUGUAGCGGUGGAAUGCGCAGAUAUCAGGAGGAACACCGAUGGCGAAGGCAGAUCUCUGGGCCGUAACUGACGCUGAGGAGCGAAAGCGUGGGGAGCGAACAGGAUUAGAUACCCUGGUAGUCCACGCCGUAAACGUUGGGCGCUAGAUGUAGGGACCUUUCCACGGUUUCUGUGUCGUAGCUAACGCAUUAAGCGCCCCGCCUGGGGAGUACGGCCGCAAGGCUAAAACUCAAAGGAAUUGACGGGGGCCCGCACAAGCGGCGGAGCAUGCGGAUUAAUUCGAUGCAACGCGAAGAACCUUACCAAGGCUUGACAUACACCGGAAACGGCCAGAGAUGGUUGCCCCCUUGUGGUCGGUGUACAGGUGGUGCAUGGUUGUCGUCAGCUCGUGUCGUGAGAUGUUGGGUUAAGUCCCGCAACGAGCGCAACCCUCGUUCUAUGUUGCCAGCGCGUUAUGGCGGGGACUCAUAGGAGACUGCCGGGGUCAACUCGGAGGAAGGUGGGGAUGACGUCAAAUCAUCAUGCCCCUUAUGUCUUGGGCUUCACGCAUGCUACAAUGGCCGGUACAAAGGGCUGCGAUACCGUAAGGUGGAGCGAAUCCCAAAAAGCCGGUCUCAGUUCGGAUUGAGGUCUGCAACUCGACCUCAUGAAGUCGGAGUCGCUAGUAAUCGCAGAUCAGCAACGCUGCGGUGAAUACGUUCCCGGGCCUUGUACACACCGCCCGUCAAGUCAUGAAAGUCGGUAACACCCGAAGCCGGUGGCCUAACCC